AGGCAGCAGUUAGGAAUCUUCCGCAAUGGACGAAAGUCUGACGGAGCAACGCCGCGUGAGCGAAGAAGGCCUUCGGGUCGUAAAGCUCUGUUGUGAGGGACGAAGGAGCGCCGUUCGAAGAGGGCGGCGCGGUGACGGUACCUCACGAGGAAGCCCCGGCUAACUACGUGCCAGCAGCCGCGGUAAUACGUAGGGGGCGAGCGUUGUCCGGAAUUAUUGGGCGUAAAGCGCGCGCAGGCGGUCUCUUAAGUCUGAUGUGAAAGCCCACGGCUCAACCGUGGAGGGUCAUUGGAAACUGGGGGACUUGAGUGCAGGAGAGGAGAGCGGAAUUCCACGUGUAGCGGUGAAAUGCGUAGAGAUGUGGAGGAACACCAGUGGCGAAGGCGGCUCUCUGGCCUGCAACUGACGCUGAGGCGCGAAAGCGUGGGGAGCAAACAGGAUUAGAUACCCCAGUAGUCC
rnacentral:rRNA from 1 species